rnacentral:lncRNA from 1 species
UUGAUGCUGAGGUAGGUUUGGACCAAGGCGACUCCAAUAGCCCAUAUCUGUCAUUGAGUCUUGUCUAAGUCCUUUGAGAGCCGGACGAGUACCUGUAGGAAAGUCCAUGUGAGCUCUCUGUGGACCAGACACCAUGUUAUGUCUAUGUUAGUCCUGUGAGCUUCUUUGGGGAGCCGGGCACCGACAGAGGGUAUUUUUGGGGUCAUG